UACGUAGGGUGCGAGCGUUAAUCGGAAUUACUGGGCGUAAAGCGUGCGCAGGUGGUUUUGUAAGUCAGAUGUGAAAUCCCCGGGCUUAACCUGGGAACUGCGUUUGAAACUGCAAGGCUAGAGUGUGGCAGAGGGGGGUGGAAUUCCGCGUGUAGCAGUGAAAUGCGUAGAGAUGUGGAGGAACACCGAUGGCGAAGGCAGCCCCCUGGGUCAACACUGACGCUCAGGCACGAAAGCAUGGGGAGCAAACAGGAUUAGAAACCCUGGUAGUCC
rnacentral:rRNA from 1 species